GGGCACAUGGUGUAGUUGGUUAUCACGCUCGCUUAGCACGGCUUACGUAAUAAUCGGGCUGCGAGAGGUGUUGGGUUCAAUUCCCAAUGGACACA